rnacentral:rRNA from 1 species
UACGAAGGGGGCUAGCGUUGCUCGGAAUUACUGGGCGUAAAGGGAGCGUAGGCGGACAUUUAAGUCAGGGGUGAAAUCCCGGAGCUUAACUUCGGAACUGCCUUUGAUACUGGGUGUCUUGAGUGUGAGAGAGGUAUGUGGAACUCCGAGUGUAGAGGUGAAAUUCGUAGAUAUUCGGAAGAACACCAGUGGCGAAGGCGACAUACUGGCUCAUUACUGACGCUGAGGCUCGAAAGCGUGGGGAGCAAACAGG